GAACCAGAGGAGACGAUGACUUCAUUUUCUCUCUUUCUCCUAUCUAUCCUCCCUCCUCCACCACCUCACUUCUCUCUGUUUCUCUUGAGUUUUUAAUAUGGAGCUGUGCUUCUCUGCUAAAUCCCAUUCCUUAAACCUAAUCUCCGGAGCUCAAAUCUCAGCUCUCUCUUGUGCUAAAUCGUCUAUUCGUAAAGAAUUCCUGGGUUGCUCUCACAAUCUCCGGCCUCCUGGUGGACCAAUUCGCGGAAGCAAAUGCAGGAAGCUUAGAAUUCGCAGAAACCAGUCUCAAAGAUUCUUAAUCAACGCUUCUUUUGGUUCCGAUUCUGUUCUUGUUGUGGUUGCUGUUUCUACUAUCUCUGCUCUCUCUUUCGCUUACCUGAAUCAGCAGUUAACCAAUCGUAACACCAACAAGAGGAGUUCUAAAGAGGAUUUGGGUUCGCCUAGUGCUGGGGUAUCUCAGUUACGCAGAAAUAUUGUGAACAUUGUUGGAAGUCCCUCUUUGGACGUUGGAGAUUCUCACAGGGGGACCCUUGCAGCAGAAAGUACGAAAUUGGCAGAGAGUAACAGAGAAAACAGCUAUGCCAUUAAAGGGAAAGAGACCCUCGUACAAGUUCUCGAGGACAAUGUAACAAGUUAUGGUUCUCUUCUAGUUGAAACAACAGAAUCUUCCAAUGCUGAUUUUUCAGUUUCUAAUGAUUCUAAUCAUGUGGUUCCAAAAGAGCCUGAGCCUCAACUCUCAUCAAUUCCUGAAUCUGGACGUAUCAAACCACUUGAGUUGGCCGAGGGAAUGUCCAAGUUGACAUUAGAAAAAAGCAGUAAUGAGCUUGACGUUAGUUCUGCGUUUCCAGAAGUAAUGACGAAGCAAUCUAAUUCUACUUCGUCUUCUGUAAAUUUUGAAGCUGGCAAAAUGGUUGACCUUGCUAGCUAUUAUGGUAUCUCUGAAGAAUCAUCUAGAGAGGAUCUUUACACAUUUUAUGAGGAAAACAAAUCAGUGGUGAAUUCAUCAUUAAACAUGAAUGGUUCAAGCACUGUGUCUUCUCAUGCCUUGUCUUCCCCUGGCAAUAGCUUUUCUUCGUUGAAGGUGAAUGCUAUAGUAAAAGAGGCAGAAUUGUCAGCGCAGCACUCCCCUCAAAUUGCAGAGUCUGUUGAAAGAAAAAUACGUGUAGCACCAUAUGAAAGAGGUUCUCGCAAAAAUGAAAACAUGGGAAGGAGAGGAUUUCCAAGAGACAAAGAAAAAGGACACCUGAUUCAAGAUGACCAUAUAAAACUACCAGAUAUUCCCUACCCAAAUGGCAUACACGCUACCGACAAAGACGAUCCUCCAAAGAAAUUCCAGACUUACAAUCGUUUGUUAAGAGAUGGAAGGUUAGCAGAGUGUUUGGAUUUGCUGGAGGAUAUGGAAAGAAGGGGUUUAUUGGAUAUGAGCAAGAUUUAUCAUGCUAAGUUUUUCAAGACCUGCAAAAUUCAAAAGGCUGUUAAGGAAGCUUUUCUCUUCUGCAAGUUGGUUCCAAACCCAACCUUGAGUACCUUUAACAUGCUCAUGUCUGUGUGUGCAAGCUCACAAGACUCAGAGGGAGCUUUCAAAGUUCUACAACUUGCUCGGGGAGCUGGAUUGAAAGCUGAUUGUAGACUUUACACUACUUUAAUAUCAACCUGUGCUAAAAGUGGAAAAGUUGAUUCAAUGUUUGAAGUGUUUCAUGAGAUGGUUAAUGCUGGAGUUGAACCAAAUGUUCAUACAUAUGGCACGCUAAUUGAUGGCUGUGGCAGAGCAAGACAAAUGGCUAAGGCAUUUGGUGCUUAUGGGAUAAUGAGAUCCAAGAACGUGAAGCCAGACCGAGUUGUCUUUAAUGCACUUAUCACUGCAUGUGGUCAAUCGGGAGCUGUGGAUCGUGCCUUUGAUGUGUUAGCAGAAAUGAGGGCCGAGGCACAACCUAUUGACCCCGAUCAUGUUACUGUUGGUGCAUUGAUAAAUGCAUGUGCAAAGGCUGGUCAGGUUGGUCGGGCAAAAGAAGUAUAUAACAUGAUGCACGAAUUUAACAUCAAGGGCACUCCUGAGGUUUAUACAAUUGCUGUCAAUUCUUGCAGCCAGACUGGUGAUUGGGAGUUUGCAAGCAGAGUGUAUGAAGACAUGAAAAGGAAAGGCGUGGCCCCUGAUGAGAUGUUUCUCAGUGCGAUGAUAGAUGUGGCGGGGCAUGCUGGAUUAGUGGAUGUUGCAUUUCAAAUCUUACAGGAAGCCAGGGUUCAAGGAUUAGAACUUGGAAUUAUACCAUAUAGUUCAUUGAUGGGAGCUUGCAGUAAUGGCAAAAACUGGCUGAAGGCACUGGAGCUGUAUGAUGAUAUGAAGUCCAUUAAACUAAACCCAACAGUCUCAACCAUGAAUGCUCUGAUCACUGCAUUGUGUGAUGGGGAUCAACUACCAAAGGCUAUUGAAGUGCUGUCAGAAAUGAAGAGUUUUGGCUUGUGCCCAAACACUGUUACAUACUCCAUGCUCUCAGUGGCCAGUGAGAGAAAGGAUGAUCUAGAGGUUGGGCUCAUGCUUCUUUCACAAGCCAAAGAAGAUUCUGUUGCCCCUACUCUUGUUAUGCGCAAAUGCAUUGUUGGUAUGUGCUUGCGGAGAUAUGAGAAGGCUUGUGCUCUUGGUCAGAAUGUUUUAUCUUUUGACUCGGGAAGGCCGCAGAUAAAAAAUGAGUUGACAUCAACAGCCUUAAUGGUCUACCGUGAAACAAUUGCAGCUGGUGAGAAACCUACAAUGGACGUUGUUUCACAAAUUUUGGGAUGCCUAAAAGUCCCUGGUGAUGCUUCACUAAAAGCCAAAUUAGUUGAAAAUGUUGGAGUAACUACUGACUCAUCAAAAUUUUCUAACCUCUGCUCAUUGUUGGAUGGAUUUGGAGAAUAUGAUCCUCGUGCUUUUUCAUUGCUUGAGGAAGCUGCUUCUCUUGGAAUCAUUCCACAUUUAUCCAUGAAAGCAAGUCCCAUUGUUAUUGAUGCUAAAACCUUGCAAAUUCAUAUUGCAGAGGUCUAUCUCUUAAACGUUUUGAAAGGUCUCAAGCAUCGUCUUGCUGCUGGUGCAAAGUUGCCCAGCAUAACCAUUUUAUUGCCUAUAGAAACAACAAAAGUCAAGAUUCAUGAAAGCGAGAAAAUGAUCAACCUAGCAGGAAGGCUUGGGCAGGAAGUUGCAUCUCUAUUGAGAAGGAUAGGGUUGCCUUACCAAGGGAAUGAAUCAUAUGGGAAGAUUAGAAUCAAUGGGGUUUCCUUAAAAAGAUGGUUUCAACCAAAGCUUUCUUCUCCUUUUAGUAGAAAACCAGGAGAGUUGAGCUCAUCCCAAUUGAUAAUUGGGAAAGGGAUCAUUCAUCAGCAGCGUAAUAUUCGGACCGGCAAUUUGUCUUUGGAAUAAGAGGAAGCAUUUUUAUUGCUGCUGAUAGGGAAACAGAUUUAAAGGAAUGAGUUAUACAAGUUUUUCCCAAGCAUGAGAUACAUAUCAGUUUUAUGAAUGACCUAGUCUCAUUAUCAUGCUGCAGCAAGAUAUUGCGUCCCUGUUCUUGGAUAGCUUUUGCAAAAUUUUGAAACAGAAACUGAGGUCACCUUCUGUCUGAAGAUGUGGUAGGAUACUUCAAGAGCAACGUAAAUGCAGUGAAUAUGGCCUAAGAUUAUACCAUUUCCGGCUGAAAUAAAAAGAGAUUAUGUAUUCAACGGUCACUCUUCUGUGUCCAUUUUGAAGAGAAAUAAAUAAAUUAUGUCCACUCCUGCAGCUUUAAGGAUGGAAGCUUCAAGCUGCAAUGUGAAAGCAAGUGCAAGAGUACGAAAAUUGUUGCAUCACAUAAUGUAUAAUAAUGAAUGCCACUUGUACUGAGAAGACAUCAUCUGCCAAUUUACAUUGUCAAUCUUUUGAAGAAUUUUUUCUGCAGGAGUUAAUCAUGGGAGGUUACCUUGUAAAAGUACUAUGUUUGUUUGCUCUGAUGAAAUGUUAGUGACUUUGGAGCAUUCAAGCAGGCUUGAUUUUGAAAGGAAAAUGGUAGGCAUAUCAUACCCUAGUUUCAUGAACCCAA